AUUGAACGCUGGCGGCAUGCCUUACACAUGCAAGUCGAACGGCAGCACGGGGCAACCUGGUGGCGAGUGGCGAACGGGUGAGUAAUGCAUCGGAACGUACCUUUCAGUGGGGGAUAACGUAGCGAAAGUUACGCUAAUACCGCAUAUUCUGUGAGCAGGAAAGCGGGGGAUCGCAAGACCUUGCGCUGAUUGAGCGGCCGAUGUCAGAUUAGCUAGUUGGUGAGGUAAAGGCUCACCAAGGCGACGAUCUGUAGCGGGUCUGAGAGGAUGAUCCGACGCACUGGAACUGAGACACGGUCCAGACUCCUACGGGAGGCAGCAGUGGGGAAUUUUGGACAAUGGGGGCAACCCUGAUCCAGCCAUGCCGCGUGAGUGAAGAAGGCCUUCGGGUUGUAAAGCUCUUUCGGCCGGGAAGAAAUCGCACGGGCUAAUACCCUGUGUGGAUGACGGUACCGGAAUAAGAAGCACCGGCUAACUACGUGCCAGCCGCCGCCGUAAAAC
rnacentral:rRNA from 1 species